AGAAACUGGGGAAAUCCUGCUGAGUCCUGCUGGCUCCAGCAUCCAGUUCCCCCCUUGCAAACACUCGCGGUGUCGAGGCCGUGAGCUGGAAGGGAUGCUGAGGAUGGGAUGGCAGGGCUGGGUAGGCUGAUUGCAUUUGCUUUGGAAAAGCUGAUGUUUGUAUGAGCACUGGCUCCAGUGGUUCUAAAGGGAUCCACCCAGGAGCAAAUACCACCAGCUGAUAUCAGAGCUGUGCUGCUCCCAGCCCGGAUGGGGUGGAAAAGUCUCUGCUCUACACCCAGAUCCACGCUGGGUGGAGGAAGCCAUGGGAGCCAAAGCUGCCACUGCAGAACACAGGAAGCAAAGACUCCAGCACAGCUAACAGGGCUGGCAAAAAGUGAUCUUCCUUGGAAAUAUGGGGGAGGAAGGGUGAAGGUGCUGUUCGACACAUAGUCCAGCCGAGAUCAAUGCAGUCACCCUUGCUCCCAGCAGAUGUGCCCUGGUACCCAGCUGCUUCAGGAAAAGUGACUUUUAUCACUGAUGUGAGAAGAGAGGAUGCCCAGACACUUGGACUGUGCCUGUUUCAGGGCUGGGGCUAAACCUGCCCUUCUGCAGGGCUGCCAGAGGCCCCAGGGCAUUCCACCCCACAGCCUCUCCCCUUUCCCUGGAAACACCGGUGAGCUCAGCAAAGCACUGACAGCGUGCCUGGGAGAAACACAAACAUUUAUUAAGCCAGCUAUGGUUUUUUUUUUUUGAGAAUUAUUUUAACAGCGCCAGAGGACUUACCCUGUCUCCCCCAGGGACCCUCAGCUGAUUCAUUGCAUGCAGGGUUAGCAGCAAAGCAGGGGACAGCCAGCCUUGGGGACACGGUGGCUCACACAGCUGCUCCAGGGCAGGCAGAUGGAUGCUUUUCCAUAAGGGAACCCACUCCCAGUUUGCUGGGAUCCACCCAAGUCCUCAGCAGGUACCAUCUCUGAGAAUUUUGAGUGUUGUCCUGCUCUCCACAUCCAUCCAGGGGGGUUCUGAGGAUCUGCAGGGGAAGGGAGGGUGCUUGGGGCUCUCAGAACAGAGGGUGAUUUCCACUGAAGGUGCUGCUUCAGAGACACCAAGCUGAACCUGCCGUGCACCCAACCACCUUCCCAAGCACAGCCAGCUCACAUCUCUCAUCUGGAAAUCACAGCCAGUCACCUCCCUCUCUCUCAGCUUCCCACUGACAUCCUGAGACCUUGUCCUCACUCCUGCCAUCCCAGCAUGGACAGAUCCAAGCUGUGACCCACACAGGCAAGGGAACAACAGCACGAGGGUGAGAGCAAAGCCAUCACAGCACUGGGCUGGGGACAGGUGUACCCGUGGGUUCUGAACUCAGGA